rnacentral:lncRNA from 1 species
AACACUUCAUCAUGCAACUUUUGUUAAAAAGCCGAAACCCAUAACAAUGAGGAAUAUCACAAGUGAAGUAACUUUUCUUACUUCAACUUCAGAGACAACUUUAGUGAUCGAGAUAAAACUGUUUUGGUGAAACAUUUGUUAAAACAACUUCUUAUAGUAGAUAAAAACUAUAAAAUGUCCAUAUUUUUUGUUUUCUUUCUUUUUCUUUUGUUUCUCUUUUUUUAAUCCUUAUUUGCUAGCUUGGAGUCAUGAGGCCUCAUCCACUUGCAUCUGGGCCCUUCAACUUCGUCCGCCUAGAGCCUUGCCAAGGCGUCCACGAAGACUUUCGUCCGCCUAGAGCCUUUCCAAGGCGUCCACGAAGCCUUGACGGGUGGAUGGUCACAACAACUCGGCGGUCGUAGAGCCCUAGCAUGACCACAUUCCGGCAGUUCCACACGAUGAUGCCCCUAUAGCCUGAUAGCUCCAUGUGAUAGAGCCUUAGUAACCGCACGCCCUAACGACUUCAAAGCCUCGGCCACGUUGCUGUCUCCUUGCCCCGCGAUAUUUGCUGUCGCACAUCCUUGACUCGUUUUCUCAAACGUCGUCGUGUCUUGUCAGGUCACACCACUAUUUCCUGACCUCACCAUCGUCUCGGACCUCGUGCCAUCGUCGUUCAUACCUCAACAUCGUCGCACGGCUUGGACGCGGAGACAAGCCUGACUUCUUCUAGGCAGCUCCGCCCACGCCGCCAUCGCCUGGUCUCACCGCACCACCGUCUCCUCGC